GGCCAUCUGAUUGUGGGUGAUAGGCAGAGCUAAACCUCAAUUUCACUUGCAGUGCUUUGAAGAAGACCUGCCACAUGUUACUUGUGAAUAUCUAGUUUCUAUCAGAGAGUAUUGACUUUGGCAAUCCAUUCCACUUAAAAACAUUAUCCAUGAAAGCAUGAGAGACUGAUUGUACUAUAUAAGGGUGAGAAAGGGGAAUGAAAUGAGAAUAUUUAGUGAACCUGUCCACCACCAACAAUAUGACUUCUUUGCCCAAUGAUUUGGGAAGACCCUCAAAGAAAUCCAGGGAGAUGUCAGUCCAAGCAGAAGUAGGUAAUGGCAAUGGAUCUAGGAGACCAGGGUAGUGGCAAUGCUCUCCCUUGACUCUUUGGCAAACUGCACACUCAUGUAGAAAAGUUUCAAUCUCCUGGCCUGGCGCCAAUCAAAUAGCUUUUUUACCAUUUGAUAAGUAGCCACAAUGCCUGAAUGGCCUCCUAUGGGAGAGUUGUGAAGUGAAUCAAUGAUUUGGUGUUUAAGAACAGCAUCUGAUCCCACAUAUAUUCUUCCUUUAUAUCUCAAAAUGCCAGAAUGAAGAGUAUAAGGGGGUGUUGCAUUGGCUGAUACAGUGAGCUUCUCAAGCAGAGAUUUGCAAUGAUCAUCAUUAGUGUAGCUGGUUUCUAUAGUUGAAGCCCAAGCAGGAGUAACUGCAGUGACUGCCAUCACAAGACCUGGAGAUAUCAGAAGUGAGAAUGCUGACAUGAGUAACGAGAAAUCCUGUGAAAAACACAAUCGCCUGCCAGUGGAAGGCUUUCUGCAUUCAGUUAAUCUACGCAGAGUGAAUCGGUCCCUAAGGAACCCCCGAAAGGGCUGCCGUCCGAUGGGUACACGAAAGUGACAAAGUUGCUUUGACUACUGAACCAUGCCUAGAUCGUCGGAGCGAAUUGGAUGAUCGGGCCGAGGGCUGCCCCCUCUUCCCCUCGCUCUCCUUUCCUUAAUAUUCACCGUCGAGUCAUCAAAGCCGUAAACUAAUUCAGAGGGGCUCGGCUGGCCCGGUCGCCCUACGCUACUGGCGCUUCCAAAGGCGAAGCUCUCGUCUUUGGCGACCAGCAAACGGAGGGCUAAAACCUAUAGUUUUGAAGCAAGGGAUGAGCGCGAAAGCCGUUGCGCUUCCGUACACAUGCAUACAUUUUCUUGCUGGGGCGGACACGGUUUCUCUCUAAAGGCGAAGAAAAAGAAGUGGGCGAACACUCGGCCCAGCGGGCGAACAUGCCGGCUCCAGCUCCGCGCACCUGCUCACACCUUUCGAAGCACUUUCACGUGUGAACCGAAGUCGUCUUGCCGAACUCCUUCCUUUCUCAUUUCAGUCCUCGCCUUUUUCAUCUUCCGUAGGGGCCUUUAGUCUUUUGAUUAGAGUGGAGGUCGCGAGAGAGCAGAGCGUACCGCCCUGCCAUAGUCGCGAGGAUCUUAAUACUCGGUCACGACUGUUGUCAUAGUCAAUGACGGUUGAAACUUCCAGGAAAAAACUUCGAAUUGGGAGGGCGAUCCUCCCGGUGAACUGACCGUACCCCAAACCGGCACAGGUGAACAAGUAGAGUAUACUAGGGCGCGUCGAGAGAACCAUGUCGAAGGAACUCGGCAAAAUGACCCCGUAACUUCGGGAGAAGGGGUGCUCUCCUAUCUUUUGAUUAGGAAAGUGGCACAUACCAGGGGGUAGCGGCUGUUUAUUAAAAACACAGGACUCUGCUAAGUGGUAACACGAUGUAUAGAGUCUGACACCUGCCCAGUGCUGGAAGGUCAGAAGGAGAAGUGUGAUAAGCUUUGAAUGGAAGCCCCAGUAAAUGGCGGCAGUAACUCUAACUGUCCUAAGGUAGCGAAAUUCCUUGUCGCAUAAGUAGUGACCUGCACGAAUGGUGUAACGACUGCCCCGCUGUCUCCGACAUGGACCCGGUGAAAUUUAAUUCUCCGUGAAGAUGCGGAGUACCAACGGCUAGACGGUAAGACCCCAUGCACCUUCAUUAUAGCUUCGUAGUGACAACCUUGAUUGAAUGUGUAGGAUAGGUGGGAGGUGGUGACACACAAUGACCAAUCCUGAAAGACCACUCUUUCUUCUAAGGAUGCCUAACCGCCGCACCGAUCAUUCGAGGGGGGGGGGUGGCGGGACACUGCGAGGUGGGUAGUUUAUCUGGGGCGGAUGCCUCCUAGAGUAACGGAGGUGUGCGAAUGUAGGCUCAAGCGUUGAUUCUUCUCGUGAGCGUAAUGGUAUAAGCCUGCAUGACUGUGAGACCGACUGGUUGAACAGAGACGAAAGUCGGCCAUAGUGAUCCGGGAGUCCCAUGUGGAAGGGCUCUUGCUCAACGGAUCAAAGGUACGCCGGGGAUAACAGGCUGAUGACUCCCAAGAGCUCUUAUCGACGGAGUCGUUUGGCACCUCGAUGUCGACUCAUCACAUCCUGGGGUUGAAGAAGGUCCCAAGGGUUCGGUUGUUCACCGAUGAAAGUGGCACGUGAGUUGGGUUUAGAACGUCAUGAGACAGUUCGGUUCCUAUCUACCGUUGGUGUUAAAGGGAGAACUGCGAGGAGCCAGCCCUAGUACGAGAGGACUGGGCUGGGUCAACCUAUGUUGUACCGGUUGUUAUGCCAAUAGCAGCGCCGGGCAGCUAAGUUGGUAUGGAAGAACUACUGCACCGCGGGAAAUCCUUCUCUAUACAAGUUCUCAUACGAGGUUUUUGAACGGAACUUCGAUAGGCGAGAGGUGUAAGCACCGCGAGGUGUGAAGCGAUCUCGUACUAAACGAAUGGAAAUUGACAAU
rnacentral:rRNA from 1 species